UACAGAGGUCUCAAGCGUUGUUCGGAAUUACUGGGCGUAAAGGGCGCGCAGGCGGCUGCUCAAGUCAGGCGUGAAAGGCCUGGGCUCAACCCGGGAAUUGCGCUUGAGACUGGGCUGGCUUGAGUGCGGAAGAGGCGAGUGGAAUUCCUGGUGUAGCGGUGAAAUGCGCAGAUAUCAGGAGGAACACCAAUUGCGAAGGCAGCUCGCUGGGACGCUACUGACGCUGAGACGCGAAAGCGUGGGGAGCGAACAGG
rnacentral:rRNA from 1 species